UGUGUACUUGGCAGUCUGUCUGUGUACUUGGCAGUCUGUCUGUAUUUAGCAGACUGCUGAAUACACACACAGACUGCUGAGUACACAGUCUGCUGA